UUGGAUCCAGACUUUGAUUAUGGCUCAGGAUGAACGCUAGCUACAGGCUUAACACAUGCAAGUCGAGGGGAAACGACAUCGAAAGCUUGCUUUUGAUGGGCGUCGACCGGCGCACGGGUGAGUAACGCGUAUCCAACCUGCCCACCACUUGGGGAUAACCUUGCGAAAGUAAGACUAAUACCCAAUGACGUCUCUAGAAGACAUCUGAAAGGGAUUAAGAUUUAUCGGUGAUGGAUGGGGAUGCGUCUGAUUAGCUUGUUGGCGGGGUAACGGCCCACCAAGGCGACGAUCAGUAGGGGUUCUGAGAGGAAGGUCCCCCACAUUGGAACUGAGACACGGUCCAAACUCCUACGGGAGGCAGCAGUGAGGAAUAUUGGUCAAUGGGCGAGAGCCUGAACCAGCCAAGUAGCGUGCAGGAUGACGGCCCUAUGGGUUGUAAACUGCUUUUAUAAGGGAAUAAAGUGAGCCUCGUGAGGCUUUUUGCAUGUACCUUAUGAAUAAGGACCGGCUAAUUCCGUGCCAGCAGCCGCGGUAAUACG
rnacentral:rRNA from 1 species